rnacentral:rRNA from 1 species
CUAAUACAUGCAAGUCGAGCGAACAGACGAGGAGCUUGCUCCUCUGACGUUAGCGGCGGACGGGUGAGUAACACGUGGAUAACCUACCUAUAAGACUGGGAUAACUUCGGGAAACCGGAGCUAAUACCGGAUAAUAUAUCGAACCGCAUGGUUCAAUAGUGAAAGACGGUUUUGCUGUCACUUAUAGAUGGAUCCGCGCCGCAUUAGCUAGUUGGUAAGGUAACGGCUUACCAAGGCGACGAUGCGUAGCCGACCUGAGAGGGUGAUCGGCCACACUGGAACUGAGACACGGUCCAGACUCCUACGGGAGGCAGCAGUAGGGAAUCUUCCGCAAUGGGCGAAAGCCUGACGGAGCAACGCCGCGUGAGUGAUGAAGGUCUUCGGAUCGUAAAACUCUGUUAUUAGGGAAGAACAAAUGUGUAAGUAACUAUGCACGUCUUGACGGUACCUAAUCAGAAAGCCACGGCUAACUACGUGCCAGCAGCCGCGGUAAUACGUAGGUGGCAAGCGUUAUCCGGAAUUAUUGGGCGUAAAGCGCGCGUAGGCGGUUUUUUAAGUCUGAUGUGAAAGCCCACGGCUCAACCGUGGAGGGUCAUUGGAAACUGGAAAACUUGAGUGCAGAAGAGGAAAGUGGAAUUCCAUGUGUAGCGGUGAAAUGCGCAGAGAUAUGGAGGAACACCAGUGGCGAAGGCGACUUUCUGGUCUGUAACUGACGCUGAUGUGCGAAAGCGUGGGGA